AAUACCCGGUCGGCAUUAAAAUAAUUGCUUCGCUCAUUACCGGUAAUCGUGCCCGGCAAAGAAACUCUUUGAAGUCACGAAGACGUGAUCCCCACGAUCCUGCGCGCGGAUCUUCGUGACUUGGAGAAUCCGCGGAGGAAUCUUCCCAAGGAUGCCGGCUGUCCGGAUUGGAUCCUGCGGAAGGAAGCGUAUCAUCUCGCGAGUUCUUUCUGAGAUGCGCAAGCGUGGGACGUCCCGUAAACGCGUGCACGAGGGGGUAGGAUACGCGCAUAUCACAUCGUGCGGAGGCUGCCGGGCGAUCCUGUUUAAUUACGGGGGUUGCGGCCGAAGCAGCAGAUUCCGCGCGCCCGAGGAGGCGCCUCGUUCGUCUUCUGGGAAGAGGAGAAUGCGAGGAGGUGGUCAGCCUCGUCCUCGUCGCCACGUCGUCCACAAGCGAACAGCCUGCCGAGCAGGAGGAGAGAGACUUCGAUAUUUAUAGUGCCGUGCGCCGGGAGACCCGCAAAAACACCCGGCGAUUCGCAAUCCUGAAAUAACAGGUUACCUCGGAGCGCAGCGGAGUGAACGGGAGGAGCAGCGCGCAGGGCAGGGUCCUGCAAGAACCCUGAAGAGGACGAGAGGAGUAUGAGAGAAGAAGAAGAAGACGAGCAGGGAUGAGAGGACGAGACACGGGGGGAGGGUGGACGUAGUGAGAGAGGAAAACUGAAGAAGCAAGAGAAGAAGAGGAGAAGGAGGAGAAGAAGGACGUGAGUGGUUCGGCCUGUAGAGGGAGCAGGUUUCUAUUUAUACCGCGUCACCGCGAAUCAAAGACCCUGCGGAGUACGUAGGGAAGUCAAGAAGGGUACUCGUUCUCCUCUUCCUUUUUGCUACUCAUGUCCUCGUCUCUCUCUCUCUCUCUCUCUCUCUCUUCUUUCUCUCUGUAUUCCCCUUUCUGCUGCUCCCUCUCUGUCUCUUUCACUUCGCCUGUUACUUUUUCUCGCGAUACCUUCCUGCGCCGUGGUUACCUCCGAAAAUUGGUAAAUGAGCCGUUGAUAUUCGCUGAACGUUCCCGCCGUCUGAACCCAUCUUCCUGCACCCGGUUUACGCGUUUAACGCGCGACAACCUUUUUGGGCGGAUGUAUUACGGCGUACCCAGUACUCGACGGGGCACCUGAUCUCCCCCGGUGCAAUCCACUUCGCCCCUUUUUCUGCAUGCCACUCUUCUUCGCGCAUCCUCUUCCUGGAGCUUUUUCCUAGAGGGCUGAUUAAUGAACGUGACAGGUUUCGGCGCUUCGGCUGAUGUCGCAGCUCGAGAGUGGAAGCGAUGUGUCACGCGCAGUGACAGGCCUGGCAGGCGGCUCACGGAAAGAACCAUCCGAUAUCCUCUCGAAGUCAACGAAGAAUUCCUGGAGUUGCUUGGAAGGAUUCUAAGGAUGAUCUAAAGGAGAGAACAUUACCAUUAUACGAAUUGCAGUUCAUAAAAUGGACGUUUACGUACGGAUGGAUCCCGCGCCGCCACGGAGGAGGAUAAAGCAGCAUGCAAAGAGAAGCGAGAAGCGGAAGAAACGGAGAAAAAGAAUAAGCACGUCGUGCGGUAUAGCCGGUAUAUCUUUAUAUGGUUUAGUUGUCGAGCGUAAGGAAGACGUCGAGAAGCAACAAGAAGCGUGGAAACCUUUCUCGCGGUAACAGUUAGUCCAUUGUUAGCACCGCGGAGGUACAUGUUAACACCUCGAACAUCGUCUAUUCGUUAACAAUAUUCCAACAGACUCCGCGCAGAUAUCCGGCGGGAUCAGAAAACGUUGAUGAUUAUUCAACAUUAUGUUACAAGAUGCAAGUGAAGGCAGAAAUAUUAUAUUAUAUUAAAUAUAAUUUACAUUACAGUAUUAUAUUAUAUUAAGUAUAAUUUACAUCAAAUGAACAUUCUGUAAUGAUUUACAUGUUUCAAGUGAUGAAGAAUAAAUGCUGGAAAUUCUUUAGAUAAA